AACGAACGUUAGCGGCGCGCCUAACACAUGCAAGUCGAGCGAGAAAGGGCUUCGGGCCCCGGUAAAGCGGCGCACGGGUGAGUAACACGUGGGUAAUCUGCCCUCGAGUUGGGGAUAACAUUCCGAAAGGAGUGCUAAUACCGAAUAAGACCACGACCUCGAAAGAGGAUGCGGUCAAAGCUGGCCUCUAUAUAUAAGCUAGCGCUUGAGGAUGAGCCCGNGGCGCANCAGGUAGUUGGUGAGGUAACGGCUCACCAAGCCGAAGACGCGUAGCUGGUCUGAGAGGAUGAUCAGCCACACUGGAACUGAGACACGGUCCAGACUCCUAC
rnacentral:rRNA from 1 species